GAUGAAGAACGCAGCGAAACGCGAUAGUUAAUGUGAAUUGCAGAAUUCAGUGAAUCAUCGAAUCUUUGAACGCACAUUGCGCCCCCUGGUAUUCCGGGGGGCAUGCCUGUUCGAGCGUCAUUUCACCACUCAAGCCUCGCUUGGUAUUGGGCAACGCGGUCCGCCGCGUGCCUCAAAUCGACCGGCUGGGUCUUCUGUCCCCUAAGCGUUGUGGAAACUAUUCGCUAAAGGGUGUUCGGGAGGCUACGCCGUAAAACAACCCCAUUUCUAAGGUUGACCUCGGAUCAGGUAGGGAUACCCGCUGAACUUAAGCAUAUCAAUAACGGAGGA
rnacentral:misc_RNA from 1 species